CUACGGAGGAUCCGAGCGUUAUCCGGAUUUAUUGGGUUUAAAGGGUGCGCAGGCGGCCAUUUAAGUCAGCGGUUAAAUCGUGGGGCUCAACCCCAUUCUGCCGUUGAUACUGGGUGGCUUGAUUGCGGUCGAGGUUGGCGGAAUUCGUUGUGUAGCGGGGAAAUGCAUAGAUAUGACGAAGAACACCGAUUGCGUAGGCAGCUGACCAGACCGCAAAUGACGCUCAUGCACGAAAGUGCGGGGAUCGAACAGGAUUAGAUACCCUGGUAGUCCGCACAGUAAACGAUGAAUACUUGUUUUCGGCGAUAUAAUGUCGGAGGCAAAGCGAAAGCGAUAAGUAUUCCACCUGGGGAGUACGCCGGCAACGGUGAAACUCAAAGGAAUUGGCGGGG
rnacentral:rRNA from 1 species